rnacentral:lncRNA from 1 species
CGAACUUGACAUUCCCACCAUUCUGAAGAGAUCGAAACUCCCUCAGCUCUUCCUUCCUUCCUGUCAUGUGACGUGAGCAGCCACUGUCAAUGUACCAUUCUUCGUCGAACUGCUCGUCACUUAUAACCUGCAAAAAUUAAGCAGAUUUAGGAACCCAAAGUUUCUUGGGUCCACAUGAGCUUUUCACAGGAACAGGAAUAGUAAGAGAAACAUCAACAAGAUAUGUGCGUUUAACUAAGGUUGUUUCAUCUUUUCUUUUAACAGUAAACACUUUGAUUUUGUUAGAAUUAGCUACAGGUGUUUUGGAUUCAGAUUCUGGUGUUUGAGCACUAGACUGCUUUUGGUUCUCCUUGACUGAGGAAAUCUUCGUUUUUCCAUUCAACUUUCAUUUUAAGUUCGUUGAUGAUUUUGAAUUUUGUGCAGGAACAGAAUUGGGUUUGGAAGAGGGUUUAGAAUGAGAAGAAUUAGAAAAAGAGAAUUUAGAAUGAGAGUUUUUCCUGACUUGAGGUUCGAAAUGACUCUUUUGUUUAUGAUCAUUAGAGGUACCGAACCUGGACCUUUGGUGGCUGCUCGAUGAUGAGCUGAAGUUGGAUUUUUGGUUGUUGUUGGCUGGUGGUCUGAAACUUGAUCUUUUAUUAUAAAAGCUCGAAGGACUGAAAUUAGGUCUUUGCAUGUUAUUACUUGGCGGACCGAAACUCGCUUUUCGGUUGCUGUUGCUUUCGGGACCGAACCUAUCCUUUUGGUUCUGUGCUUCAUGAGGCCCGAAAGUCUUUUUCUCUGACUUAGAAUCUUUAUCAUGGUAAGAGUAAUGAGGAUUUUGAGAACGCCAAAACUGCUUUCGCUUUGAGAGAUUCUUCUUGUAUCUAAGAUUUCACUGCUGCUUUUGAUUUUUCACCUGUUUCGGUUGUCUGUGGAUAUUGGCUUUUUGUUUCGGCUUCUUGACAGCUAGUUCACUUUUCAUAGAUGAUGUUUCGCUUGUGGACGUGACUUCUUCUACAGGUAUUUCUUUUGUGCCACUUGUACUUGGCACGUCAAAGUUGUCAGGCUUAUUCAGCGGCUCUAGUACAUAUCUUCCAUUGGUUUUCCAGGAUGUUCGCUCUGACAGACCAACUGUUUCGUCUGCAUUAUCUAUAGGAGCUGACCAGAAAAACUCAUCAUAGCCAUCUGCAUUGUCUUCGUUCACCAUGGCAGUGAGUUCGGCUGUUUGAUGUUCGGUUACUCCUGUAACCUUAUAUACCUGAUUGGGAGUGGUUCUAACCUUCUGAAACACAACGGCCUUUUCUUUAAGAGCUGGGGACUUAGUUUUGGACAAACGAGCGAAUUCCACAGAAUUUUCAGAAAUCAGAUUUUUGUGGUUUUCGGGUUCGCUCUUGACAAACUCAGAACAGUCGACUUCAACCUCUACAGAAAUUUCACUCAUAUCAUCGUCCUCAUUAAGUUCAGAUGCGUUUUCAACAUCAAUUUUAUUUUCUGAACUUAAAUUGGCACUCAAUGAGUCGAAUUUUUGUAUGGUUUCGGUCCUGAGUUUCAGCUUAUCGUUUUCAUCCAAAAGAUUUUUAAGCAUGUCCUUAUGGUCUUUGGACUUUAUAAAAGAUUCUAUUUUGUCCAGACCAUACAUAUAAGUGGGAUUGACAUCAUCGGAAGAUACAACACUUUCACAGUUGUAUGCUUCAGCAUCGAUUUCAUCCUCCUUAAACUCAAGGAAGGGUAAAAUCAUGCGAUGUAUCUUCUGCCCUAUUUCACAAUUCAGAUGCAGUUGAGUAAUGUUAGCAUAAAGUCUUUUAGCAAUCAAACAAAAAACAUUCCUUUGUUUUAACAAUUUCAAAUUGUCUCUUUGCAAAUAAAUGUUUUCAUCCUUAGACUUAAUCAGCUCCGACUCCUUCUGCUCAAUCCACAUCCUUCGCUCCUCACUCUUGGAUGACACCCUGCUUAUUUGGUCAGUUAGGUUAGAAUUUGUGACCCGUGUUUGAGUUAAACAACUAUCCAGAUUUGAGAUUCUUGAAUUUAAGUUAUUUAAUUCCUUUUCAUAUGAUUUUUGUGGAAUUUUGAACGAAAUAAAAAGAGAUUGUACCUUCUUGAUCAGUUCAUCAAGUUCACUGAUAUGCACACUAAGAGGUUUUGCUGUGAAGCACAAGUCCUCUCGCUCCUUGGGGUCUUCAUUUCCACUAUCAGUAUUAUAUCCCCUCAUGUGAGAUACGUCAGUCACCAUCAGACACUUUCCACUGCUUUCACCACCUCUUGCGACAUAAGCCUUUCCAUGAGAAGGCUUUCUCACCUCAUCAUCUUCUGAGUCGGUCGACCAAACCUGUACGCCACCGAACUCAUCAUCCUCUGCCGAACCCUGUACAAUAAGAGCAUUCAUAGAAGGAUUAGUAGCAGCUUUCUUCCUUUUAAUCUCUUCUAGCUUCUUCAUCAGGAUUGCCUCUUCAUCUUUCUCCUCAUCUUUCUCUGUCAUUUUCUUCAAAACACAAUCUUUAGCGUAAUGAUUCUUUCCUCCACAGUAAUAACAGUUGACACCAGAAUCUACUUCAACCUUCACCUCUUUCUUUGGUUCUUCAGUCUUCGGCUCCUCCCUUACUUUUUCAGAACUGUAGCUUCCCUGCCAAUUUCUGUUCUUAUUGGUAGGAAACUUCUUCUUGAUGAACCUUUUGGGAUUGGACACCAUCAUAGCAUAAUCUUCUGAAGUUAGAUCGUAGUCCUCCAGGUUCAGAUCUUCGUCUUCUACUGCAUUCUUACUUUUAGACAGGAGGGCCAAGGACCCCAAGUUUGAGACCACACUCUUCUCUUGCAUCACUAUCUUUUCCUGGGAUUUCAGAAUUCCCACCAGUUUCGCCAGCGAAUAUGAUUUGAACUGCUCAUGAGCUUUAAUUGUAGACACAACAGUUCUCCAUUCGGGUCUUAAGCCAUUCAAAAAAGUAACCUUUUUUUCAAUAAGCUUCCUUUCGAUAUCAUGUUUAAUCAUCUUGCUGAGAAGAUGAUUGAAGCGAUCAAACGUCUGUGUAACGGACUCAUCAGGAUUUUGCUUGAACUCUCCAAACUCAGACAAAAGCAAGGUCUGAAUUGAGUGCUCCAAAUCUUCAUCUGUGGAAUACAGCUCUCGCAGCCGAUCCCAGAUUUCUUUAGCAGUACUGCAGGAACUCACCAACCUAAACGUGUUAGAUUGAAGAGCGAAUCAAAUAUGUCUCGAUGCUUUGAUGUUGCACUGAAACUUCUCCUUUUCGUCUUGAGCGACGUCUUUCACAUCCUUUAACAGAUCAUUAUACUCCUUCUGAGUUUUAAUAAUUCUGGAUGUUCCUGAAUGAGCAAAUGGUCCAGACACAAUGGCUUCCCAUAUUAGAUACCCAUUAUCUUUAGAUCCGAUGACGUACUCUUCGAAAUGAUGCGCCCAAACCUCAUAAUCUUUAGUGUAAAGAAUUGGAAUCUUUGUUGUAGAUCCAAUACUGUUUGAGAUGUUGAUAGGAUUAGAUUGAGAAUCGUCCAUGCUUGAUCGUUUAACCUGUUGCAAGAUCAGACUUGUAAUAUGUAAUAUUAGGGCAAAACGAAUAAAUAAUGAGAUACGUCAAUUAUGGAGUGACGACUCAAUAAAUAUCAGUUAAUGCGGAAUAAACCCUAAUCACUUCUUUCACAGAAGAGAUGUGUAUGAAUUACACAGCCUCCUGCUCUGAUACCAAUUGAUGAGUUUAUAAAACUCUUUGAUCGAUUAGAUCUUAUAACAGGUAAAUCAAGAAAGCGAAAAACAGUAAGAUAAAGCACAAGAAUGAAUCUGAAUGUGUCAAAUGAUUCAAUUGAUUCAAUCCUCAUCAAAGCUCGAUGAAGAACUUCCGCUGUAGAGGAUAUUAGGGUUACAAAAGACAAGAACAAUGAACGCUAUUAAAUUCUCUAUCAAAUCUUACGUUCUAGGAUGCAUGCAAGCAUCUAUAAAUAUAAAACCCUACAAAAUAACUCACAGAUGGACAGGCCCAUACCGGAGAUUAAAUGGACUAAAUAUCGAGCCCAAGACGCAACACUAUCUGGACCUAACAGUGACAAAUGUGACACUUACACAGACGCUUGCAGGGCGUCUAGUUCUCUAGUGUCUAUCAGUAUGGUUACGAGUAUCUUGGGGUUACCUUAUAAUUCAUGGCCUUAAGGUACGGGUUUUAACACUGUAUUCACUGUAUACACGGUAUUCCCUGUGUUCAUUAUAUUCACUGUAUACACUGUAUUCACUGUAUUCCCUGUGUUCACUGUAUUCACUGUUUUUAUACCUUACUAGACGUAUCAUUCAGUUGAUACCGUCUGGGGUCUGUGUUCUCUGUUUUUAGAUCUUGCUAGACGUAUCAUUCAGUUGAUACUGUUAGGGGUCUGUGUUCACUGUUUUUGGACCUUACUAGACGUAUCUUUCAUUUGAUACCGUCUGGGGUCUGUGUCUCCUUUUGUUAGACUGAGCCAGGCGUACCGUUCAUUCAAUACUCUCCUGGAGUCUAUGAUUUCUUUCUGCCUUAGUCAGCAGUCUUCACUGCUGAGGCAUAUGUUAUUUUCCCUGAUAUUCUCCUACUUCCUUUAAAAUCAAACACCAUAUUUUGGUAAUGAUAGUGUUUAAGGGAAAAUUACUUUUUUUUAUAACAUAACUCUAUCGGGUCUUGGUAGAAGACUACUUUUAUUUAAGAAAAUAUAGGAAUUUUCUGGAAAAGACUCUAAUACACUGUUGAUUCCAAACUACUACUUUUAAAUUAGUUAUUUGAAUAAAAUGACACUAAAUACUUAUGAACUCACCAGCAUUUGUAAAAAUGUUGAUACUCGCUUUUCAAAUAACUUGUAUUCUCAGGUCAGCAAUAGAUAGGUACAUUCCAGGAGCUUCUGUUGAAGACGGUUUGUGCCAAGUUGCAUCUAUACUAGUUUCUGUAUUACUUUGAUGAUUCUAUAAAAUGUAAACCGAUGUGAAACUAUUACUAUUAACGCAAUGAUUGUUGUACUUUGAUUACUAUACUGCAUAUGUUGUGAUACUUGAUAUGACGUCAUCCACCCCAGAACGUUUCCGCCGUUCCGGUUUUGGGGUGUGACACCACUAUUGCAUGUUCGGGUUGAAACAUACCCCAGGGUUGGGCCUAUGAUUGUAUGUUGAGUUGGAAUAUACCCCAGGUUGGGCCCACUGAUUAGUAUGACAUAUGGUACUUUGGGGAACUCACUAAGCUUUGUGCUUUCAAGUUUAUGUUUAUGGUUUCAGGUACUUCCGGUACCAAAGGGGAGGGCCCGACGUGAUAGCACAACAUCCCCCUCAUGAUUCCACGCUUAUGAUUAUUUUACUCUGAUGACUUGAUAUUUUAAAUCGUGGUUGAAUUUGAGACAUCUGACGUAUGGAAUUAAUGAUUUUUAAAAUGAAAAUAUUUUAUCAUCGUUUUUGGGAUAUUAGAAAAUCUUACAUAAAAAUGAACAAGGAAUUACAAUAAAUAGUGUCCUACUAUCUAAGACUUGUCCUUGUACUCCUGUCUUUUUUUGGGUACCACAACUACUACUACCUGAACCUGCAAAACAUAAAUUUGUACACUAUCAGACACAAUGUAUAUGGUGAGUUAUUCUUCUAUAUUUUCUUAUCUUUUUUCCUUCUCCCUCUCUCAGACACUAUAACCUAACUCUUACUCUAAUAACAUACAUUUCUAUUCUUUCUUCUUGCACCUACCUGUUCUAUUCUUCUCUAAUAUUUUUCUACUCUUUCUCAUCUCUUCUCUUUCCAUCUCUUCUCAUACUCUGUACAUACUCUAUCUCAAUCUCUAACUUUGUCUAUUCUUCACUUUGUCUCUACUCUUCUCUUUCUCUACUCUACUCUUUCUUUACUUUACUCUUUCUCUCUCUAUUUUUAUCUCUAAUGCCACAUCAAUUUUGUUCUUAUUUAGACCGAACGGUCACAUCUCAUACUCUAAUCUUAUCUAUCUUCUAAGAGAACAACGAUUCUCAUCCAGUCUUACUCUCUAUCCUAUGACCAUCAUGGAUCCCUAUUCUUUCUUCUUCUCUUGAAUCCCUCAUAGAUUCCUUUUUCUUAAUCCCUCUAGGAUUACCUCUAAGGGUGCGUUUGAUACAGAGAAAUGGAAUUCCUACAGAGAAUGGAAAUGUAGAGAAAGAGAAUUAAGUUGGAGAAAGAGAAUUGACUCCCCUGUUUGGUAGAAUCGAGAAUCCACUAGAGAAAUGUUUUUGAGAAUCAUUUCUCUUGUUUGGUUGUAUUAAUCAAUGAAAUGGAAAUGAGUUUUUUUUACCUUGUUUACUCAUUUUCAAACAACAUUUUUUAUAAAAAUGCAUUACAAUGUACAUCUUAAUUAGUCAAAAUAUGUAUCUUUUAUGUUUAUAUUUUUUUUAUUUUAAUAUUAAUUGUUACUAAAUAAUUUAUUUUCUAAUCAAUUAAUAUCAUUAUUUAUACAUAUUGUAUUUGAAAAAAUGUUUCUAAUAUAAAAAAAUAACUUACAAAUAGAUUUAAAAGAAAUAUGCAAAUCAUACUAUUCAAGAACUAUGUCAAUGGAGGAUAUAUGCAAAAAGUAUAAUUCAAUAUUCCUAACAACUAAAAAACAUAACUAUGUCUAAUAUAGAAUAUACAAAGAGUCAACUUCAAUAUUCGUAAAAACUAAAAAAAAAAAAACAUAACUUAAAAAAAGCUAAUCAUGAUAUUGAGCCAGCCCCAAUCAUUUUCAUGUAUCAAAUCUUUUCUUCUUUUGUCAUCCUAAAAACUACCCGGGCACGAAAGUGACCUUUGCUAAACAUGUUAAUCGCCUUAAUUCGUUGUUUGACAUUGAUAUUUGGCAUGCGUUAUAUAUCUUCGAUAAUUUAUUUAUCAUAUCACAUGCUUCCUUAUUUUCUUGCCUUCCUAUAUUCUAUAUUGUUUCAUUAUGUUUUUCACCAACCUCCUUGAAAGUCUUUCAUUUCUUUCGUUGCUUCCUUAUAAUAUCUUCCAGUGUCAUCCGUUGGAGGCCUUUUGCGUUUACUAUUGACACGAACAUUUUGUUGCGUCUCUUCAACAAUCUCUUCCAACCCUUCCACAUCAACAGGUGAGUUUCUUUGUAUCUCUUCAGUCAUAUCUUCACCAAGAUAAGUAGCUCUGUGACCAGUAGCUCUAUCCUUCCCGAAGAUUUACAAUAUGUUUUAAUGAUGCUAAAAAUACUACAAAAAUAAUCAUUAUAGUACCUUUAUGUACUCAUCCCAAACUUCAGCAUCGAUAGUAACACAACAUUUAUCUGUAUCCCAGCCAAAUCCACUCGUAUUUGUUCCAUAUACCAUGUCAUGCACGAUGUUGAAAUGGUUUUUCCAUGUCUUCAUCCUCGAUUUAAUGUGAGGCUAUGCUAUCAAACCCGAGUUAGGAAGACUUACAUCUAGUAAUUGUUCCAUUACCUUCAAAUAACUAGGUUUGAAUCCGUUGCCGGCACCACCAUACUUUCCGGAUACACGUAACUCCAACAAUGCCUCAGUUAACUUUGAAUCCUCUUCAGUAGUCCAUGUGUGUUUGUUUCGCCCUGCCGUGUCUACAAAAAUAUUUACAUAAUAGAUGCUUGAAAUACCAUACAACAAUCAUAACAGCUCCUGUUUGUGGCUUUAUAACUUAACCAAAACUUAACGAAUUAAGAUGUUUUUUUAUUCUAAAACGUAGACAAGACAGAGCAGUACAUUUAGAAAAAAAAAUCGCAUCAUUCCGAGCUUGUAUGAAGCUUUUAUGAUGGUUCAAAGUUGGACAAAAUUUAUAAAAAGUGUUGAAAUAUUAUGCAACAAUUAUAAUAGCUCCUGUUUGUGGCUCUAUAACUCAACCAAAACUUAAUCAAUUAAGCUGUUUUUUAUGCUAAAACGUAGACAAGAAAGAGGAGUACAGUUUGAGAAAAAAAUCGCAUUGUUUCGAGCUUGUAUGAAGCUUUUAUGAUUGUUCAAAUUGGAGAAAAAAAAUCUGAAAUUGUAAAAAAAAAAAUUGCUUUUGUUCAUUCAACUCAAGCAUAAACAAUGAACAAAUAGCAAUUGAUCAUCAUUGAACACUUAUCUACAUGAUUCAUCCACCAAGAUCGAUUUCAACAUAGGAAGAUUCAAACAUGCAAAAAAAAAAAAGCAAUUCAUAGCAAGCUUAACAUAUUCUUGAAUUGGAUAUUAAAAACAAAAUUCAUAGAAAAUUAGCACAUAAUCGACCAACAAGGAGAAUCAGAAAGAAACAUGAAGUCAUACCUUCACUUGGAAGUGGAUUGGUGAUGUCAAAAUCGACCAAGAAGCUGCUACAAAGAAAAGUGAAGUUGUGCCUUCCAAGUUACGAACAACAUAGAGGAGUAAGGCAUAUGUAUUUUCUUGUAAUCGUGGGCCAAUUCCAUGAUAUUCGGUAGCGGUUGUUUGAAAAAACUCAGAAAUUGAAUGUAUUGGGGAUAGAAUGGGGGCGCUAUUUUAUUCUCGACCCACGUACGUUGGGCGUACGUGGAGUGCGCUGGGCGUACGGCCACCUAGGACAAACCCUAAUUUUUAGGGUUUGAGCUUUAUUUAAACACCAUAAUUUGCUCUUGGACCUUCUUAUGACCAGCCUCCACCUCUCUAAAACCUGAGAACAAAACCCUAAUUCCCAUUCGAGUGUUUUGACCUUGGAAGUGAACUUUGAGGGUGUUUUUGGUGAUCUUAAGGAAGAAGAACUCUUGGAAGUUGCAUUGGUGUAAUUGAAUCUUGUGGAUCCAAAACCAUCACCAACUUGGAAGGCUUUUGGAGGUAUAAAGCUUUAACUUGAUGCUCUUUAUGAUAGAUCUAGUCUAGGGCAUGAUUUUGUACAUUUGUCCAAUGAGUUCUCUUUGUGGGUUUGAGCCACUCCCGGAGCUAGGAAUACUAGAUCUUAGCCUCUCUGAUGUUCCUUGUGCAUAAAAAUGCUAUCUUGAUGUGUUAUAUUGGACCAAGCAUGAGUUAGGGCUCUUAUUGUGGGUCUUAAUGUUAAAAAAACAAGUAUUGAGUCCCAUUAAGUCAGGAAAAAUUGUAAAGUUGCCAACUUUACGUGUUAAGACCUUAUUUUGUAGUAGAUCUCAAGUCUGGACGUAAAGGUCUUAAGGGAUUACGACCCAAGGUUGGCUUUUAGGAAUUUGGCUAGUACGUCGGACGUACUCCUUAGUACGCUACGCAUAUUGGGUUAGCAGCCCGCUUCUACGUCAAACACAGGGCGUACAAAUGGGGUACGCUAAGCAGGGCCUUUAUUUGUGUUUGGGCCCUUUUGGAUAUGAAUAUCUUUUGGGAUUUGGGCCUUAGUUGGAUUUUGGGCUUUAUAUCUGUUGGGCCACAGCUGGAGCUUAGGUUUAUGGGUUGGGCCAUUUUUAGGCCUUGGGGCACUAUAAAGUAGUAGGCCAAGCUAGUUGGGCCCAGUAAGGAAAAAGGUAAAAUAGUCUUUACCUUAGAGGUUGAGGAUGAUGAGUUGGGACCCCGAUUAUGGAUUAUGAACUAAUUAUUAAUUAGGGUAUUUCUUUUUUUGGAAACGGAAAAAAAAAAGAAAAAAAAAAGUGUAUCACGAAACCAAAGUGGAACAAAGUGUAUCACUACAUCAUAAAACAUCAGAGUAAAUUACAAAAUGCGGAAUAAGAUGGUGUGUGCUCUACAAUCAUCCCGAGUUCUUCCCUAUUGAACUACAAGUACCUGAAACAUAAACUAAAAACCAUAAGCACAAAGCUUAGUGAUUUCCGCAAAAUACAACAUACCAUACAUAAUAAACACAUAUUGGGCCCCGCCCAAGGUUCUAAAUGGCGUGAGGCGUGGCGUGGCGGCAAGGUCAAGCCUCAAGCUUAGGGAGCCAUGGCGAGCCAUGGCGUUUUUCAAGGCGUGAUGUGAGGCGGCGAGUUUGUAUUAAUUUAAAAUUAUAUUACCACAUAAAUAUAAAUUUAUAUUAAAUAUAACUACUUUUUAGAAGUGUUAGAUCAAUAACUAAUAACAAAAUUUUAACAAAAACCACAAUACUUGUAUCUCCGAUUAGAAAAGACAUAAAAAAGAGCAAAAAAAUGUGUCUCAAACGAAAAAACACGCGCCAUAACACGCCAUGACGCGCCAUAUCACGCCUUGCCACGCGCCACGCCUAAUAGCAACGUUAUGAGACUUUUCGUAACGGCGGAGCCACGCCUCACGCCAUGGCGCGCCUUGGCGCGCGCCAUGGUGCGCCUUUUAGAACACUGGCCCCGCCCGACAUCAAGUCCCACUUGGUAUACAAAUUUGUCUAUCAUUAGGCCCCACCUAGCAUUGGGCCCCACCCUAUAUACAUAUAUACAUAUAAAUAUAUAAUCAUACAAACACAUGCGAUAAUCACGAAGAUAAUAGCAUACAAUACAGUCAUCGGGCCCCGCUCGGCAUCGGGCCAUGCCUGAUAAGCAAACCAACACAUCACACAUGCAAGAGUCACACAGACAUCUAGCAUACUAACAUAAUAAACCAUAGGUCGGCAUUGGUGCCUUCGAGCCGCUAUACAGAGUGAUGAAACUCACUUCAAGCAGCUGAAUCAGCCGAAUAAGUCUCCGACUGUUGGCCCGGAAAAUCCUCGCGCUAUCAAAAUCAAUAACUUCCAAUUAUUAGUUGGAUUCCGACUCAUAACCAAAAUUCUAAGCUAUUUGGCCUAUAACAAGGGUAAAAGACCAAUUUACCCUUUAUCUAACUUGGCUCAAAACCAAGUCCCAAAUCCUAAAGCCCAAUAUAUGGCCUAAUCUUCAAAAUUAGGCCCAAACCCAUCAUGGGCCUAAAAUCCAAGGAAGCCCAACAUGCUAGGCUAAAUCUUAAAACAGAGAUCUAAUGUACCAAUAAGGCCCAAACUUCCAAAUACACACAAUGGCCCAAUACCGACGACGUUAAGCCUAAAGGCUCAUAUACUGAGUACGUGGGGCGUACUCAGCUUGUACGCUUAGCGUACUCCACCUGGGGCUAGUACGCACAACAUACCAGCUGGGUACACCUAUGUACUCCCCAGUGUGCAAACUUACUCCAUUAAUCACUUAACCAAUUAAUCUGUUUAUCCUAGCUCUCAGAUCUGGUCCCUAAAGGUGACUUACCACGUAAAGUUAGCAACUUUACAAGCAUACAUGGCUUAAUGGGGCUCAAGAGCUCAAAAAGAGCUUAACAAAGGUCUUAAUACAUGCAUGGGUCAAGAUACACCAAUAAAGUUUGCAUUUUUAUGCAUAAAGGACCCCUAAAACGUCCAAAUCUAAGGGCUAAGCUUCUGAAACAACCUUUAAUCACAAGGACCAAGAAAAAGGGACCAAAAUAAGCCAUAAACAAACUCAAACUAGAUACACAAGGAGUUGUCAAGUUAAUAACUUUAUACCUCAAAUGGCUCGAAAUGAUAAUGCUAACUUUGGAUCUCUAAGCUUCACUCCAAGGAAUGAGUCUUCGAACUCCUACCACUUCAAAAUGCACAAGAACACACCAAAAUUAUUUACAAGAGCUCAAAAGCUCCAAAACAAUGGCUAAGGGGCUAAAUUAGGGUUUAGAACAUAUAGAGAGAGUUAAUAAAUCCAUAAUGAUAUGGUUUACAUUUAAUUAAAUUAAAAGUGUAAUUUGUUAAAUUAGACCAUAUAGUAUUUUAAAAGUGUAAAAUACACCCUUAUACUAUAUAUAAAAUUAAAAGUCUAAUAUUAUAUAUGUAUAACUUAAAUGGCAGUCUUACCGUUAGUAGGCCUCAUUCACGGAGCUAGUCUAUAAGGGGUGUUUAAGGAAGCGGCCUGUAAAAUGCCCAUCAUUGGGUAUCCACUCUUACUUACCGCACUCUUGACUAAUGGAGGGUCGUUAGCCGAACGGGUAGGAUAGGGCAAACCUUUUCCAUUAAAAGUAUAAUGAAUUAUAACGUAACUAAAUGUUUUUACAAAAUUACUAAUCUUAAUUACUUUAGGAAAAAGUGAACUGAUGCAAUUCCAUAAACUUACACUUUGUACCCUUGCUAAGACGUUAGUAGAGCGCGUGUGGUUAACCGGCACACUAAUUGGGUUCUAAGCAAAGGUGGUGAAGGGUGACUCGAUGUUUUUCAUAGUUCGGUGGAGCGUGUGUGGUUAACCGGCACAUCGAAUAGGUGAAUGUAACAUUGGGGGCACCAUGUAAGUUUGCAUGGUUAUUCACACCCUGUUUUGUGAUCAUCGGCAUCCCAGUCACAAAUCGAGGGGCAUAUCGAGAUUUAAACAUGCCAUUGAAAAGCUCAAUGAAUCUCAAAGGAUCUAGGAGUUUUCAAUACAUUUAAAACUUAAUCUCUUUUUUGUUUUUCAUGGUGGAAAAUUGGUGAAUCGUCAUUCACUUACCUUCAAAUGUUCUGCAAUUUGGAUUACGGCAUCCCUCUUCCAAGUCGUAGAAUAUUGUGUUGGAUCCUAGCCUUAAUAUCUCAUUUGGGUGUUUAUUAAGGACUCAAUCAAUCAACUAACUUGAAUUUUCUCCCGUUUUGUAGAUGUCAAAGUAUGAGGGAUUUACUUCUGCAUCUGAUGGCGUAGAGUGAUGUGGUGGUUGCCCUAGGGAAACCAAAGAGGUUAUGCGAUGCUGAGAACCUGGUCUAAUUUAGGAUUGUUUGGAUUGAUAGGGGAGUGACUUGGAGGACUCGGGGCGAUCCUUGAGGAAAGUGUGGAUAGAUGUGGAAGGUAGUAUGGGCCCGUACUACUAGAAGCAGAGGAUCCAUACUCGAGUCAAGGAGAGUCACGAUGAUACUAGGAAGCUUAUAUAAUGUGGGAUUCUUCGAGUAUGUUCUGAUGGUUUCUAUGGUUUAUUUUCAGUAUGGUGGUCACUCGAGGAGGUUGUAAUGCAGAUAGGGGUGCCGAUGUUGGUGUCGGUGAUAGUUCACGUUCGGGCUCUGGGGCCAGACAUAUGGAUGAUUAGAUAUGGAAGUUCAUUUCAUCAGAGAUUACCCGCAAUAUUCUUGAGCAGACUCUUGUGAUCUUUGGUAUGGUCAAGGAGGGUAUCAUGGAGAUUCUGGAUGAGCGCUAGGGCGCUUUUCGUUCUGAGAUGGUGGCGAUGAUGGGAGCUUGCACUUUGACCUUCCGUAAAUUCCGGGCAUGUGGAGCCCUGCAAUUUUUCGGGAAUAAGUACCUAAUUACGAGUAGGCAUUGGUUGGCAGACAUUGGGAAUGCCUUCUGAUCUAGCCUCUGUCCCGAGGACAUAAAGGUCCGACUUGCAUCCUGUAUUUUGAAAGACAGAGCUCGCGACUAGUGGGAGGAGGUUGGACACGCCUUGGGAGGCAAGGCGGUUGAGUCGAUGACUUGGGAGGAUUUCGUGACGAGGUUUCGGGCUGAGUUUGCACUGAUGAUUGAAGCCAACAGUUGGCGAUAGAGUUUCAGGACCUUCACCAGACUACUGAGACAGUGACAGAGAUCACUACUAUGUUCCGAGAGAGGGCAUUACUGGUUCUGUAGUGUGUGGUGGACGAGGAGAUGAAGAAUGCGAGAUAUCAUGAGAAGUUGAAGAGCAAUAUCAAAUAGUUUGUGAGUAGAUCCAGUUACAAGACACUGGUUAAUAUGAUAACGCGAGAGAGAGAGAGAGAGAGAGACAGAUAGAUAGAUAGACAGAGAAUGACUUGGAGAUGGAGAGGAAGAGGAAGUCGGAUCAGGUUUAGAGUUUAGAGGGUUCUGGAAAGAGGCCCAAGGUUUUUGACUCGAGGUCGAGGGGCAAGUAGGGUGUGGGGGUCAUUGCAACAAGUGCAGAAAGACGCAUGAUGGGGCGUGUAGGGUGGGUGGUUCUGGUUGCUUCAAGUGUAGUAGGAUGGGUCACUUCAGCAAAGAUUGCACUGCCACCACCACCACCUAGGUAUCUUUUCUAAUUUGCUUCUAUUAUAAUCAGAGGGGCCAUAAGAAGGCCAGUUGCCCAAGUUUAGCAGCAGGGGGACCAGUUGUAGCACCCGCUCCGAUGACUUUGCAGAUUACAGAUGGCCGACAAGUCAAGGAGGAUGCGCUUAUGAUGAGGAACAGGGCCUUCCACCCGACAGCCGAGGAGGCUUGUGCAACACCAGAUGUAGUGAUGGGUAUGUAUCUUCUCCUUAUCUUUUUAUUUAUGUUAAUUUCCCUAUUUAUAUUUUGCGUUUGCUUUUCGGGUCGUUCCAUGUAAACGGUAUCUCUGCUCUAGUUUUGUUUGAUUCAAGGGCUGGCCGAUCCUUUGUAUCUCUCGCGCUCAACAAGAGAGUUGAAGGGCAAACUCAACGAGUUGAGUCAACUGGGGGUGUUGACUUUGACUUUGACCUGGACUUGACUUUGACCAUAGUUGACCCUAAGGGGUUAUAGGUAUGAAAUGGUAUCUAAGGGGUUUUUUUGAUUCAAGGAGUGAGUAGAACUGAUUCCGGAGCAGAGAUGUUUCGGCUAGCAUCCGACAUUUGAGGUGAGUUUCCUCCUGUAUGAACGGGAUGAAGGCACCAAUGUCGGGCUGUAUAUGUAUGUUAAUAUGUUCCAGACUAAGGUCUGAUGUCGGGAAGUGCCCGAUGUAGGUUUAUACGUUUCCAGAUUUCGAUUCGAUGUCGGGCGAUGCCCGAGGAAUGUUUGUAUGUUUGAUGUCUUUGUGAUUCUUGCAUGUGCCUAUAUUAUUGUAUGUUUCCAAAUUACGGUCUGAUGUCGGGCAAUGCCUGAGGAAUGUUUUUAUGUUUUCGGAUUUCGGUCUGACGUCGGGCGGGGCCCGAGGAUUGUUUAUAUGUUUAUGUUAUGUGAUUAUUUAUGUGUAUUUGUUGAUAUGUUAUGUGUAUUUGUUGAUAUGUUAUAUGUAUACUGAGCUUUGCUCAAUGUCGGGUGGGGCCCGAUGAUGGACUAUGUCCAAUGCCGGACAGUGUCCGAUGCCAGGCAAGACCCGAUGAAGGGGGCGGAGCCCACUAUAUGUUUAUAUGAGAUUGUAUGAUUAUGUGUAUGGUAUGUGGUAGUUUGGGGAGACUCACUAACUUUCAUGCUUACAAUUUUCAGUUUUGGUUUCAGGUAUUUCCGGUAGCAAGGGGAAGAGCUCGGGAUGACUGCAUUUCACACACCAUGAUGUUAGCAUGGGAUGUUACUCUGAUAUAUAUAUAUAUAUAUANUUAGCAAUAAAUUAAAUAUAGUAAGUUUACAUUGGAUGAUGUUAUGGUAAUAUAGAUUUAAAGACGGUUUUGAUAAUUAUAUUUUUUUCACGUCCUUAAUCAUUUUUAAAUUCAUGUUUUCAUAAUAAAAAUGUUAAAAAUCAUUCUUUGCUAAUAUGAAACAAUUUAUCAUCUAUCAUCUNAAAACACGAAAACAAAUUUUAUCUUAUGAAAAUCAAACACAUGUACUUUAAAAAAAAUAAAUUCAUUAGCAAUAAAUUAAAGAUAGUAAGUUUACAUUGGGUGGUGUUAUGGUAAUAUAGAUUUAAAGAUGGUUUUGAUAACUAUUUCUUUUUCACGUCCUUAAUCAUUUUUAAAUUCAUGUUUUCAUAAUAAAAAUGUUAAAAAUNNNNNNNNNNNNNNNNNNNNNNNNNNUAUAUAUAUAUAUAUAUGACAUGUGUUUCGAUAUUGAAAUACUGAUUUUGAUGUUUCGAGAUAAUAUGGUUCCUAUUUUGAUAAAUGAUUUUUGGUAACUAUGAUUUAUUUAAUUAUCUAAAAAUAAAAUUUUUAGUCAUGAUUUUUAAAAUGUUACACAGAUUUUAACAAAAACCGAUUAAAACCCAAAUCUCUUUAAGAUAAAAACCGUUUUGGUUUAAACCGGUAAAUGUCCACCUCUAGAGGAGACUACAGUACUACACCCAAUAAGCUUUCUUCCAGGCUCCAGCCCAUAAGCUAUAAGUUGCAUAAAGUCCGUGAACUCAAUGGCCAACCUAUGAUAUGCAGCCCAUAGUUUUUUUAAAGGACGUUUUAUAAUAACAAUUUUAUUUAUUUAUUAUUUUUUUUUUACAUUACAUUACAAAAGUUGCAUCAUUUUUUGUACAUACCCUGCUCAUAUGCUAUGCUAGAUCUUUCAUUUUUUUAAGUACUAGUUUUGUGUAAAUUAGAGAAAGAACAAUGAAGUCAACAAAAUCUUUAAAAAACCAGAUGUCAAGUUUUAUCACAUAUCCUUAGCGUAAUUCUAAUGUCAAGUUUGCAUCGAUCUACACUUGAAUCAUACAAAUAACAGAUCACUCGAUAACUCGAACCAUUGAAGAACUGGAAAUCAACAAAAUCUUUAAAAAACCAGAUGUCCGAAGUAAAGCAAGUUGGAAUUUGAAUUGAAGCAAUUGACAAAUCUACACAUGAAUCCAACAAAAUCGAAGAAAAAAAGAAAAAAAGACAACAGAUUUCUACACAGAUCCUUAACAUGAUUCAAAAGUCAUAUUCGCAUCAAUAUCAGAUCGACAUGAAUCCUACAAAAUGAGAUCACCCCAACAAGUUGAAGACCCGAAAAACAACAAAAUCUUGAAAAAAAAUAUUGAAAGCACGAAGAGAAGCAGUUAGAUAUGAAUUGAAUUAGUUAAGAAAUCUACACUCGAAUCUUACAAAAUCUGAGAAAAGUUGGAUUCUACAGAUUUCUCUACAGAUCCUUAGCAAUAUCCAAAUGUCAAAUUUAUGCAUUAAUUACAGAUGAAUUCCACAAUAGCAGAUCAAUCGAACGAGUUUGAAGAACCGAAAAGCAACACAACCAAAUACUAAUUAAUACGAAUAUUUGAAGAGAAGCAAUCGGAAUUACAGUCGACGCAGUUGGAUUUCGAAGAUAACAAAACCUCAAUAUCGAAACCAAAUCUUAAGAAUAGAAAAAAGCUUACUUGAUUCGAAGACGAUAAAGACCGAGGCACUGUAUGACAUUAAACCGACUUGUAUUGCCUCGAUACCAUUGAAAUGCGUUUCAAUUCAUCAACAAAAAGCACAUAUAUAUCAUAAUUUCAUAUCGAACUCAUCUACAUCCUCCUGUUAACAAGGGAGAUUAGUUUUUACGAGAGACAAAAUGUUAAGAGGUGAAAGUAAAUUAUCUGAAAGAGUGAGGUUGAAAAUAGAAAUAAAGAUGGUUUCCUAUAAAGUGACAUUUUAGCCAUGGCGUCAGGAUAUGAAAACGAUAGGUAAAGACCGAUGACUUGGUCCAUACACCUGAAAGCCAGAAGAGCAACAGCUGGCCUGGAUGUUAUUUAUCAGAGCAUGGAGCUACUGUUCUAUACCGC